AGCUUAGGGGUAAAAACGUAUUCAUUUAGGCAGUUAUGUCUGACCUUUUAUCCAUAUUAAAUCUCAGUGCGUUACGGCUGAUGCACAUCAUCUAGACUCAGUCAGUCACUGUUGGUUAUUCCUGGACUCUUUACGAAGUGGGAGAGACGCCGGCGAUCAGCCUGUUCUACACGCACUGGACUCGGCGCCGACCGUGGUUGGCCGUCGCCCGUCGGCGUGCUUGCUUGAGCGACGGCUACCGGGCUGGGCAGAAGAUUGGCGUCAGCCUUACCGCCGUCACCAGAAUAGGGAUGUGCUAAACGGUGAUGGACACAACGACAUGGGGUCGCAUGGCUGGGCCUCUAUCGCGUGGCAUCUGCGGGAGUUGAAUUGCUUCCACGUAUAGACACACUCACCUCACUCUAACUGAAGUUAAUUUAAGUGGAUCGCGAAGACAAUUUCUGAACACAUUGACUAGAGAACGGAUGAGUAGCGCAAACGAGUUCACUGUUUUCCUCUGUUCUUCGCUGCCGGCAUGCUCAGGAAGAUUGGGAAUUUCUGUUUUAAUUCCCAUGUACAUGUUAAUAUACUCUCAUCAAUUUUGUCUACGGACUGCAAACCAUUAUCUAGUAGUGGCAGGCUGCUGGUAUAUCGCAUGAUUGAUAUCCAGCAAUGGCAGGAACGAAGGGUAUAUCGCUUGAUUGUGAUCCAACUAUGGCGUGCACGAAGGGGAUUAGGCGGCUGCGGGGUGGCCACGAUAGGUUUGGGAUUAGGGAGAUGCAGACCAGAUACAAGCACACGUGCAAGUGGCACCGACCCCUGUGGCCAUGGCGGCGCCAAAGAACCAAGAGGUGAUCACGAGCGAUACCCUAGAAGUUUCGCUUCCGGGAGCCGAGAUUUAUGAUCAGAUUGGGUUUUUUUUUGAGAUAGAUCGGGGAUUAGAUUAGGUCAAAUGAAAAUGACUGCCCUUUUAAAUAAAGGGCUAGAUUCGAGUGGUACUCCUGCCCCGGCCACCAGGGUACCGUAAAAGUUCUGUUGUAAAAAGGUUUAUUGUAUUUGUAAACAUACGACGAUGUAACAAUCAAUUCAAUAUAUGCUUCUUUCUGGAGUAUUUCUUCUGGAUUUUUCUACAAAUUGAACGUCAGAUUUGGCAAAUCGACUGUUCUUCAUGACAAUUAUAGUUGUCGCGACUCGCGAGGAUUGUCGUUUCUUCUUCCUUUGGUCUUUUUUUUUGUGAUUCUUUAGGCAUUUUGUCUUAAAGCGUGUGUUUCUCUGUACAUCUUAGCCAAGCAUAUUUCAGGUUAGUCGUGUAGAUAUGUUCAGAUCAAGCUACCGUCAUUGUAGAUGCUCUUGCUCAGCUCUCCCUCUCAGCCCGUUGCCUUCCAAUGUCGUGCGGCGCCCACACAGCACCCCACUCCUGGCUGUUCAUCUCUUCGCCGGCGGUGCAGCUCCCGCCGCCGUCGGGGCACCCGCGCUGCCGCGUCUCCGUCAGGGCCACAUGCGCUCCGACCUCCUCCCGCGUCCCAGCCGGUGGCGGCAACACGCGCCACCAGACCCGGCCGCGCCUCGUAGCGGCGCACUCGGUACCUCCGCCGCCGCCCCCUACCGCCAGAACCGUCCGGAGGGACGCCGCGACGGGGCUCGCUUUCCUCCUCUUCGUGCUCGGCCUGGUGAUCAGCUCAGGCUCUGGAGCAGAUGGAAAUCGCAGCUCGUAAAUUGUUGAAAUUAGCAGGACAAGAGGUACCCGGAACUAUAUCGUCACUAAAGCUGUCAUUCAUGGAGAUCAACGAUCUAACCAGCCAACUAAAGAAAAUUAGGCACAUUUUCACAACAAAUAGAUCUGGGAAGGAUAGAUGACUAACGUGGCAGCAUGAUCACGGACUGAAUUCUUUAAUCUGUAGUGAUGUCUUAGUUCUUACUACUUUGUUAGAUUAUUACUUGUACCUCAAUUUCUUGAUCAUGUGUGUUGUCACAGUAUUGCUGGACACUGCAGAAACAUGCGCCUGAUAAUUGCUGUGUUGCCUAAGUUGCUGUAGCCUGGCAGAUAUAAUAUGGUGCGCAGAUAUUACCAAACAUCUCCCAGAAGAGAAUGGUUAUAUUGA